rnacentral:misc_RNA from 1 species
UGGGAAUCCCAAAUCGAGGCAG